rnacentral:rRNA from 1 species
AGAGUUUGAUCAUGGCUCAGAACGAACGCUGGCGGCAUGCCUAACACAUGCAAGUCGAACGAGACCUUCGGGUCUAGUGCGCACGGGUGCGUAACGCGUGGGAAUCUGCCCUUGGGUUCGGAAUAACAGUUAGAAAUGACUGCUAAUACCGGAUAAUGUCUUCGGACCAAAGAUUUAUCGCCCAGGGAUGAGCCCGCGUAGGAUUAGCUAGUUGGUGAGGUAAAAGGGCUCACCAAGGCGACGAUCCUUAGCUGGUCUGAGAGGAUGAUCAGCCACACUGGGACUGAGACACGGCCCAGACUCCUACGGGAGGCAGCAGUGGGGAAUAUUGGACAAUGGGCGAAAGCCUGAUCCAGCAAUGCCGCGUGAGUGAUGAAGGCCUUAGGGUUGUAAAGCUCUUUUACCCGGGAUGAUAAUGACAGUACCGGGAGAAUAAGCCCCGGCUAACUCCGUG